UGGGGAUAUUGCACAAUGGGCGAAAGCCUGAUGCAGCGACGCCGCGUGGGGGAUGAAGGCUUUCGGGUUGUAAACCUCUUUCGCUAUCGAACAAGGCCCGCUUAGGGUGGGGUGAGGGUAGGGGGAGAAGAAGCGCCGGCUAACUACGUGCCAGCAGCCGCGGUAAUACGUAGGGCGCGAGCGUUGUCCGGAAUUAUUGGGCGUAAAGGGCUUGUAGGCGGCUUGUUGCGCCUGCUGUGAAAACGCGGGGCUUAACUUCGCGCGUGCAGUGGGUACGGGCAGGCUUGAGUGUGGUAGGGGUGACUGGAAUUCCAGGUGUAGCGGUGGAAUGCGCAGAUAUCUGGAGGAACACCGAUGGCGAAGGCAGGUCACUGGGCCAUUACUGACGCUGAGGAGCGAAAGCAUGGGUAGCGAACAGG
rnacentral:rRNA from 1 species